CUCCUCUCAGGAUCACAACUGGAGAGUUUCCAGCACUCUACCAGUCUCAGCUAUGGGAGGAAGAGUCAGUCAGAGGCAUACCUAUUCCAUUUCUAGCUUGGGCAGUGGCUAGCGAGUGGAAGGCAAUCUGUUACAGGU